rnacentral:rRNA from 1 species
AGUGAACGCUGGCGGUAGGCCUAACACAUGCAAGUCGAACGGCAGCACAGUAAGAGCUUGCUCUUACGGGUGGCGAGUGGCGGACGGGUGGGGAAUACAUCGGAAUCUACUUUUUCGUGGGGGAUAACGUAGGGAAACUUACGCUAAUACCGCAUACGACCUACGGGUGAAAGCAGGGGAUCUUCGGACGUUGCGCGAUUGAGUGAGCCGAUGUCGGAUUAGCUAGUUGGCGGGGUAAAGGCCCACCAAGGCGACGAUCCGUAGCUGGUCUGAGAGGAUGAUCAGCCACACUGGAACUGAGACACGGUCCAGACUCCUACGGGAGGCAGCAGUGGGGAAUAUUGGACAAUGGGCGCAAGCCUGAUCCAGCCAUACCGCGUGGGUGAAGAAGGCCUUCGUGUUGUAAAGCCCUUUUGUUGGGAAAGAAAAUCAGCAGGUUAAUACCCCGCUGUUCUGACGGUACCCAAAGAAUAAGCACCGGCUAGCUUCGUG